rnacentral:rRNA from 1 species
AUUGAACGCUGGCGGCAGGCCUAACACAUGCAAGUCGAACGGAAAGGCCCCUUCGGGGGUGCUCGAGUGGCGAACGGGUGAGUAACACGUGGGUGAUCUGCCCCUGACUUUGGGAUAAGCCUGAGAAAUUGGGUCUAAUACCGGAUAUGACCUGCCCUUGCAUGGGGGUGGGUGGAAAGCUUUUGCGGUCAGGGAUGGGCCCGCGGCCUAUCAGCUUGUUGGUGGGGUAAUGGCCUACCAAGGCGACGACGGGUAGCCGACCUGAGAGGGUGAUCGGCCACACUGGGACUGAGACACGGCCCAGACUCCUACGGGAGGCAGCAGUGGGGAAUAUUGCACAAUGGGCGCAAGCCUGAUGCAGCGACGCCGCGUGAGGGAUGACGGCCU